rnacentral:pre_miRNA from 1 species
GGUAAUCUGCAUCCUGAGGUUUAAAACUUCAUAAGCAUAGAUUUGCGAAUGCAAAGUUUUUAAUCCUCGGGAUACGGAUUACC